GACGAACGCUGGCGGCGUGCUUAAACACAUGCAAAGUGGAGCGACGAACCAGGGCUUGCCCUGGGGCAGAGCCGCGAACGGGUGAGUAACACGUGGGUUACCUGCCCCGAUGACCGGGACAACCCGAGGAAACUCGGGCUAAUACCGGAUGUGGUCUUCGGACGAAAGGAAGCUUCGGCCUCCGCAUCGGGAUGGGGCCCGCGGCGCAUUAGCUUGGUUGGUGGGGUAACGCCUACCAAGGCUACGAUGCGUAGCUGGUCUGAGAGGACGAUCAGCCACACUGGGACUGAGACACGGCCCAGACUCCUACGGGAGGCAGCAGUGGGGAAUAUUGGACAAUGGGCGAAAGCCUGAUCCAGCGAUGCCGCGUGUGUGAAGAAGGCC
rnacentral:rRNA from 1 species